rnacentral:rRNA from 1 species
UAGGGAAUCUUCGGCAAUGGGGGGAACCCUGACCGAGCAACGCCGCGGGAGUGAAGAAGGUUUUCGGAUCGUACAGCUCUGUUGUUAAGGAAGAACGAGUGUGAGAAUGGAAAGUUAAUACUGUGAAGGUACUUAACCAGAAAGGGACGGCUAACUACGUGCCAGCAGCUGCGGUAAUACGUAGGUCCCGAGAGUUGUCCGGAUUUAUUGGGCGUAAAGCGAGCGCAGGCGGUUAGAUAAGUAUGCAGUUAAAGGCAGUGGCUCAACCAUUGUAGGCUUUGGAAACUGUUUAACUUGAGUGCAGAAGGGGAGAGUGGAAUUCCAUGUGUAGCGGUGAAAUGCGUAGAUAUAUGGAGGAACCCCGGUGGCGAAAGCGGCUCUCUGGUCUGUAACUGACGCUGAGGCUCGAAAGCGUGGGGAGCGAACAGG